AGCUCUCGGACAGGAGUCCCAGCCCUGGCAUUCCCAGGUGUCCCCAUUCGGUGAUCAGCACUGAACACAGACACUCACGAUGGAGUCUGGGCUGCGCUGGGUUCUCCUUGUUGCUCUGUUACAAGGUGUCCAGUGUGAGGUGCAGCUGGUGGAGUCUGGGGGAGGCUUGGUCCAGCCUGGGGGGUCCCUGAGACUCUCCUGUGCAGCCUCCGGAUUCACCUUCAGUGACUACUACAUGUACUGGGUCCGCCAGGCUCCAGGGAAGGGGCUGGAGUGGGUCUCAACGAUUAGUGAUGGUGGUAGCACAUACUACGCAGACACGGUGAAGGGCCGAUUCACCAUCUCCAGAGACAACGCCAAGAACACGGUGUCUCUGCAAAUGAACAGUCUGAGAGCCGAGGACACGGCCCUGUACUACUGUGCCAGAGACACAGUGAGGGGACAUCAGUGUGAGCCCAGACACAAACCUCCUGCGGGGCAGCGCGGGGCCGCCAGGGGGCGCCCAAGACGCAGGAGCAGAGUCAGCCCAGGGGACAAUAAUGGUUUAUUUCCUACUCAGCACAGACCUCAGCGGGACUCCCUGAGUGGGACAGUCUUUGGGAUUCACAUUGGGACAUGCAGGGACCUGGGCAGGAAAAUGGAGGGUGUGGUCUCCGUGUCUAAAUCCCGGGGCUCAGACCCUUUUCCUGGAGCUCAGCUCGGGCAGUUCUCCGUCAGCCCCUUCAGCUUCCAGAUUCGCUGCCUGUCCCUGAAGAUCAAGCCUUUGUUCCCGUGA